rnacentral:rRNA from 1 species
GACGAACGCUGGCGGCGUGCUUAACACAUGCAAGUCGAACGGGAUUUAGUAGACAGAAGCCUCGGCUAAAGAUUACUAAUGAGAGUGGCGAACGGGUGAGUAACGCGUGAGCAACCUGCCUAUGACAGUGGGAUAGCCUCGGGAAACCGGGAUUAAUACCGCAUAAAAUCGUAUAAACACAUGUUUCAACGGUCAAAGAUUUAUCGGUCAUAGAUGGGCUCGCGUCUGAUUAGCUAGUUGGUGAGAUAACAGCCCACCAAGGCGACGAUCAGUAGCCGGUCUGAGAGGAUGAACGGCCACAUUGGAACUGAGACACGGUCCAAACUCCUACGGGAGGCAGCAGUGGGGAAUAUUGCAAAAUGGGGGAAACCCUGAUGCAGCGACGCCGCGUGAACGAAGAAGGUAUUCGUAUCGUAAAGUUCUGUCCUAUGGGAAGAUAAUGACAGUACCAUAGAAGAAAGCUCCGGCUAAAUACGUG